rnacentral:rRNA from 1 species
AGUGAACGCUGGCGGUAGGCCUAACACAUGCAAGUCGAACGGCAGCACAGGAGAUCUUGCUCUCUGGGUGGCGAGUGGCGGGCGGGUGAGGAAUACAUCGGAAUCUGCCCAGUCGUGGGGGAUAACGUAGGGAAACUUACGCUAAUACCGCAUACGACCUUCGGGUGAAAGAGGGGGAGCGCAAGACCUCUCGCGAUUGGAUGAGCCGAUGUCGGAUUAGCUAGUUGGCGGGGUAAUGGCCCACCAAGGCGACGAUCCGUAGCUGGUCUGAGAGGAUGAUCAGCCACACUGGAACUGAGACACGGUCCAGACUCCUACGGGAGGCAGCAGUGGGGAAUAUUGGACAAUGGGCGCAAGCCUGAUCCAGCCAUACCGCGUGGGUGAAGAAGGCCUUCGGGUUGUAAAGCCCUUUUGUUGGGAAAGAAAUCUUUCAGGCUAAUACCCUGGGAGGAUGACGGUACCCAAAGAAUAAGCACCGGCUAACUUCGUG